ACCGGGAUUGAACUCAAGACCUUGCGCUUGCGAGGCAGGCAUAUUAAUAUUAUUAUUAUUGGCUUUUUUGAGACAGGGUCUCAUUGUGCAGUUCAGGCUGGCCUCAAACUCACUUUGUACCCCAUGCUGGCCUGCAACUCAUCAUGUUCCUCCUGCCUCAGCUUCCCGAGUUCUGGGAUUACAGGCAUGUGCCAUCACGCACACGGCUGGGCUCGUGGUUUUCGAGCUGAGUCUGUGAUUGGUUGGCCCUGUUGCCUUGACAGGAACAUGUGGCAGGGCACAGCCGGUCAUCCUGUCUGUGUUUGGGGGACACCUGAGAUCCGAACCAGAGCACCCACUUUGCUGUACCCUCCCAGAGAUGCCUUGAAAGCGGAACUGUUGGACUCAUGUUGACCAGUGCUUGACCAGCGUCCAUUGCGAGCAUGAAUAAAGUCCAUUUACGCUUUCCCCAUGACUAACUCCUGAUCCUCCCAAGCCCUGGACUCCUAAAGAGCAACAGGGCCUCUGCUGUGCUGGAAGAGUCAGGGUUUGGCCUGACUGCUGAUUUCUUUCUGCUAAAUUUUACACCCCCUUUGCCACCUUCCCCCAGGACCCCGUGGGCCAUGAGAAUGGUAGAUGCUGAGACACAAGACUCCAAGAGCCAGCACAAGGAUGGAGGCUUGUGACACAGCGCGGUGGACAGGAGUGGAGGGGCCAGUCCUGCUUUGGCUCCUUUGAGCCGUGCGGCCUCAGCUGUAUUCCUAACCUCAUUGCUGCCAUGGUACAGUGGGGUCUCCAGACUCCACCUGGUUGGAUUGUGUGAGGACAGAGACCAGCAUAUGGAGAACCCAGGCUUUGGCCAAAGCCAGAUCAUUUCCACAGCACGAGAUGAACCACAUUUGGAAGAAGAACUGCUCCUGAACUUGGGCGAGUACCUGUAAUGUAAAAGAAGAACUAAAAACAAAACAAAAAAAUUUCUAAGAGUCUUAAAGGCACAGCAAGUUUGUAAAUUGGGUGACACCUCCGCCCUCAAGGAAGCCACAGUUAUUCAUGAGUAGCAGACCUCGACUUCAGCACACAUGGAAAUGGUUUGCAUGCCGACAUCGCCGGCCAGGUGGGUGACACCAGAUGGUCACCGUGACCAACAGCAGGAGCACACAGCCUGGAUCACCCAUCUUGAAGACACCCCAGGAACCCAUAAAUAAACCAGCUUUGGAUCAUAA